rnacentral:rRNA from 1 species
UAAGAAAAUAAUAAACUUAUUAUUCCCGAAAUUAAUUGAUCUAAAAAUUUUUAAAUGUAUUGUUACAAAACUACACAUAAAAAAUUUUUAGUAAUGAAAUGUUUACGAAAUUAAUUUUAUCUGGAUUUUUAAUUUUAUAUUUUAGAUAUAAUAGAUAUUUAUGGAUAAGCAUAAAUAUAACUCAAAGGAAAAUUACAAUAUAUUAUAUAAUUUUAUUAUUCAUUAUUUAAUAAUAAUUUAUUUCUACUUGAAUUUAAAAUUAAAAUUUUAUUUAAUUAUAGCUAAAAUUAUAAUGUAAAAAUUAGUAAAUACUUUAUUAUAAAUAAUAUAAUAAUUAAAUAAAUAAAAGGAAUUCAGCAAAACUAUAUUUCAUCUGUUUAACAAAAACAUUGUUUUUUGUAUAUAUAAAAAAUAUCACCUGCCCAAUGAAAUUUUAAAUGGCCACAGUAUCUUGACUGUGCAAAGGUAGCAUAAUCAUUUGCUUUAUAAAUUAAAGCUUGUAUGAAUGGUAAAUUGAAGUAUAACUGUCUUUUAUUUAUUAAUUAAACUUAUCUUUUCAGUGAAGAGACUGAAACUUUUUUAUAAGACGAGAAGACCCUAUGAGUUUAAUCUAUAAAUUAUUAAAUAGUAAUUUGUAGAUUUGAUUGGGGUAAUUAAAGAAUAUAUCUUCUUUUAUACUAAAAAUAUAAUUAUUUAUGUCCCAUUAGUAAUGAUUAUAAGUUAAAAUUACCUUAGGGAUAACAGCAUAAUCUUUUUUUAGAGUACUUAUCGACAAAAUGGGUUGUGACCUCGAUGUUGGAUUAAGAUAAUUAUUGGGUGAAGAAGCUUAAUAAAUAAGUCUGUUCGACUUUUAAUUUCUUACAUGAUCUGAGUUCAAAUCGGCGUGAGCCAGAUUGGUUUCUAUCUUUAAAAUAUAAUAAUUUUAUAUUAGUACGAAAGGACCAUAUAAAAUAAAUGAUUUUAUCAAUUGGCA